CUACCGUACGCACACACACAGAGGAUCAUCACAACUAAAACAUGAUUUGGGGGUUUCUUUCUUCCUUCUUCAAUUUUAUUUCCUCUCUCUGUCUGAUCUGAGAGCCGCGAACCUGAACAUCUCUUUUCCUCUGCAGCUUCCAGCACUCUUGCAGCCAUCCUUGUUCUUCUUCAGCCGUCGCGCCGUCGUCAGCAGCAGUUCGUGCAGAUCAUCAUCCAUAUUUCUGGAGCAGGUUGCAGCUUCCAGCAGACGCACUCUUUUUUUUCUCCCAUUGACGCAGCCGCGCACUCUUCCUGGUCAGUUUUCCAUUGAAGACUCUCUCAGUGCCAAAGUUGCUGAUGUAGAACAGAUGGCAGAUUUUAUCGCGGUUGAGCUAGAAAAAGGACGUAGCGGGAAUUUGCAGAUUUGUCGUCCGAGCUCCGAUUAGGACGCAAAAUGCCAUUUCAGAAAGGGAACGACGCCACGAGUCAAACUCACCGCUUUGCUAUGAUGUAUGAUGGAUUUUGGCAUUCUGAGGUCGUUUGGCCUUCCAAAACUGCUUUCAAAGUUCGUAGUUAAUUAUCCGAAUAAAUUCUGUUUUCAGUUUCGGAGUUACGUAGUUAAGUCUCCGAAUUAAUUCUGUUUUUUCAGUUUUAAUGUAAUAACUCCCCUGGCAGUUCAAGGGUUGAGAAUUGUGUAUUUAGACAGGCUUGUCUGUCGUUUUUCAUUAGCUCAGAUUUUAAUACAAUUAUCCCAAGGGAAUUCCUCUUAA